GGAAACCCUAAUGGUCCAAAGAUUAGAAGUGAGAAGGUUACUUGGGGUUGAAGACAGAAAAAGAAAAUGAGGUCUAGCCAUAAGUCAACUUCUGACACAAACAUAUCUCCCAACAAACCUUGCUACCUUCCUAAGCAAUCAUUUCCUCUUUUAAAACGUUGUCUAAAAAUGUUAUUAAUUAUAUCACAACUUCUGCAAUGCUUUUUCACGUCCUUAAAUCAGAUCAUAUAUCUUUGCAUCUGCUUCACAGAGCCUACGUGUGGAGAAGGUUGGUCUCGACAUUAGUCAAUAUGGAUUUUGUUUCCGGGCGGAUUUUAUAUAUGCAGCACUAGAGCGUUAUAUUGCAACAUGCCACACUCAAAAGAAGUUACCGAAGCACACCGUCUUCUCUUAAGAUAUAUACCUUCUACAGAGGUUAAAAGCUAAUUAGUACUAAGACCUAUGGAUUUGGUGAAGCUGCUUCAAGCCAUUUCCUCUUCCACCUACGCCAUGCACCUGAAAAUCAAACAAAAAGUCAAGAUUUGCACCUACACGGUCCUAGUCAGAGCUCUCAUAUAUUGUGAACUAUAAACUACCUUAUGAUGUUGACUCAAGUUCAACUUGCUAAGACUUCCAAUAAUGAAAAUCUCACUUCAAGAAAAAGAAAGAAGAAUAACAACUUGAGGGAAACACUCAAGACCAUUAGAUUCAUAACACUUACCUUUUAUAAAGUUUUGGGCUUUGAAGUUCCCCAGCUUUGCUCAUAACUUCAGCUUGAAUCCCUUGGACAGAAAACCAUCGCCCCUGAGACUGAAACAUAAUAUGUUUAAGCAGGUUGAUUGAUACUUUUUACCAUAUGCAAGCCUCAAAAUCUCAAAGAAUGAAGAUACCCAAGACUCAGAUUCGCAUAACUGUCUUGUACAUAUCAAAAAAUAUAACCAGGGAAUCAAAACGAGUAAGAAAGCACAUUAUAAAGAUGAGCAUACCCACCUUUUGUUACCCAUCUUUUUCUCUUGAGCUCUGCGAGGAUCACCUUUACAUCCCAAAACAAGGCUACUCACAACAAUUUCCACGUUACAUGGAAGACCCUCACAGCCCUUUAUUUCAAGCGUCUCAAAACUCUUACUCUCCAAAUCAAACCAAAAGAGCUUCCCAUUGUUUAUCUCCAGCAAAAUCUUCCUCCUGUCCUUAGAG